CACAGUUGAGAGCGCGCCGCCUGCCCCCCUCAGGCCGCCGGGGGAACUGACCCCUGCACCUACACAGCAUGUUAGCCUGGGGUGUUGGAAGAGUAGCCCAAAUACUGGAGUAUAGAUCUGGAUCAUACCCUGGGCUCUGCUGGGUCGAUGCCUCGUCUGCUCAGUUGUCUCCUGAUCUACACGCUUUACCUGUAUUAUAAUUUGUAUUAGAUUUGUAUAACAUAAAGCUUCAUAACUCCUCCCUCUGUUGAGGGAACAAAAAACAACAACAAAAAAAAACUAAAUUGUAAUUCAAUGCUACAACUGUUUCACUGUUUAUUGUAUAUAUUUCCAGAUUGUUUACUUUAUCAUUUUAUUUCAUUUUUAUUUUAUUUUGUUGUCUACUUUAGUUGUAUUUAUAUCUUAUCUCUUGUUUCCAUUCAUGCUGUAUUUCUAUUUCUACUUUGCACAGAGCACCUGUAACAAAAACAAUUUCCCCCGGGAUAAAUAAAGUAGGACACAGCAUGUCUUCAGUGUCCAGACUGUAAAGCCCCCUGAGGUCAUGUGAUUGUAAUUUUGGGCUUUAUAAAUAAACCUGAUUUGAUAAUGAGAUUUAAGCUGUCACAAAGUCACAUUUCACCUUUUUUUGACAGCUUGAGAAGCAGCCAGCGGAUCAUCUGCCAGUUCAAACAGGACAUGUUUCUUUCUGGAGUGCUGACACUUAAUUAGCACUCUAGUCUGAACACUGUUGUGAAAUGAUAAAUAACAUGAAAGCAGUGAAGACUUUGAGAUUUUAUUCUUGUAGUUGUGAAACAGCAUUUACAUCUCUGCUGAACCUCAUGCUUCUACAGUUAUUUAGGGGGGACAGACUGAGACUCCUGAAGCUGAUUUAUUAUUAUUCAUUUAAAAAAAGUAGAAACUCCAACAAACUGGACGCCUUGUAAUGUUUGCUAACGAGCAGUCAGCUAACGAGGGAAUCAGAACAGAUCAAAUGUGUAUGAUAACAUAGACUCAUCAUAAUUAAACAGACUGAAAGCUCAAACUGUGCACCGACUCAGAGUUUGAACAGAAAUAUUAAUGAACAGUUUAAAAAGGUUAAAUCCAUCCGUCGCUCUGCGUUGUGAUUUAAUGGAAACAGGAAGUCUUUAAAUAAUUUACAUGGAUGAGUUUUACAGUUGAACACACGAAGUUUCCAUGAAUCAUCAUGCAGAUGUGUCAGUAAACAUGAAAACAACAAAACAGUUACUGAUCACUAUAGUCAAUGUUUGAUUGAUUAAUUGAUUUGCUGUGACUUGUUAUCUGUCCUUGUAUCAAUAAUCACCUCUCAGUCUCAGCAUGGCCUCCACAGUUUGAGCUCUCCCAUGCCAUUUCAUCUUAACUCCGAUCACUUCUGGGCUUCAAAACAAACAAUCCAACAGUGUUUGUUCAGAAACCAUAAAAAUCAACUGUUAAUCAUGAUCAGAAUUUAAGAGUGAUGGUGAAGAUCGUCGAAUUAAUGCCAGAUUAUUAGUGAAACCAAACAAACAGUAUGUCCGUCAGUCUGAGCCCACAAUCAUCCAGUCUACUGUCAGUGCAUCAUCAUCAUCACCAUCAUCACUCUGCAUCAUGAUCCAUCAUAAAUAGAACUCAACAUAUCUACAGUAUAUAGACACAAGGACAUGAACACAUGCAGAAACUAAACAGUGAUCGACCUCCUCAGGCGGUCGAGACGCAAGAAGGGUUUUAUAAUGUCUUAAUACCUCCAUCUGUUUUACUACAACAGACUCAUUCACAUCUUAAAGUAACUGACACAUGAUGUUUAUUUAAAGGAGGAGAAAAGUGAAGUGAGUGAUAAAGUCUGCCCGGGCCUCUCUGCUCCUGUUGGGACUGUGUUUAGUCUCUAAACAUCUUAAAUCAGGUUCCUCUGUGCUGCAACACCACAGAUGCAGCUGAGCGGCUGAUAAUGUUCCACUUGUGCUGGUCUCAAACACGUAGCUGAGCUCCACCUGUGUGAGCUGCCUCUCCAGCCUCACGGUGGUUAUAGUCAAACUGACUGAUUCAUAUAUUUAUGAUUAAACACACAUCAGUGGUUCUGGUUCAGAACAGGUUCAGAACCAUCAUUAGAUCCUCUAUCAGCAUCUGAAACCUUGUCAGUCUGUGUCAUCAGCUGGACUGAGACCAAGAAGAAGACACCACCACUCACCUCCACCUCACUUCCUCCUCCUCACAGGUGGAGCAGUGUCUCUUUUUGUACACAGGAUUAUCUCACCAAACUUCUUUACACUCUGUAACAUUUGCUUCACCCUCUCACUAUAAGAUUUUAUGUUUUCACUUAUGUCAGUGUUUUCUUUAUGCACAAAUUGAAAAUGUCUGUAAAAUCCAGAGGAUGGAAAAAGGAGAGACAUGAAAAAUAUAAAAACUGUCUCUACUGAAUCAUUCCUGAUGUUUCAGGGUCCCAUCUGUCACAAACUCCUCCACACAGCUGACCAAUCACAGCCUGACCUGUUUGUGAGGGUGGGAACCAGAGGUUUCUGAAGCUAUCUGAUGUCACAAUUUGAUUUAAACACACUGAUGUCACUUAAUUAACUAAGUUACUCAGAAUAAUUCAGAGAGGAGCAGGGAGGCCGACUUUUUCCAGGAAUGUGAACUGAUUCAGCUGAGACAGAGUUGUGAUGGUGACUUCUUCCAUCACACAUGAUUUUUUUAAGAGCUUUAGAGUUACAUGAAGACAGUCCCUCAGUAAAAGGAGCAGCGAGUGGAUUCAAAUACAAUAUUGUUCUCAUCAUACCAUUUGUCCACCUGAUAUGAACCAGGUGAACUCAUGUUAGUGUUGAAAAAUCAAACUGUAGACCUGACUGAAUGUUGCUCCACUGUAUUCAUGCAGAUUUCAAAGGAAACAAAAUGUUUCUGUCAGACGUUACAGACAGCAGACAGGUUUGAUGUUUCAGAGAUGGGGAUAUUGCUCAAAUUGUGUAUUGUUCCUUUUUUCAUCCCAGUUAUGUGCACAUUUUUUCCAUGAAUCUCCUUCAACGCGUCUGUCGUAGGGUGGAAAUGUCACAGAAACAGACGGAAAGAAGGAAAUACAAGAGACAGGAAAAGGAAACAAUGAGAGGGAAAAAAGACGUGAUGCAGAGAUUCUCAGUGUCUGAGAGGAGAAGAGACAUCGAUCCAAUCAUUUCACCUGCAGAGACGAACGUUUGGGAGGAGACGAUGAAGAUGACACCCACACACCCACACACACACACUUAUAUGUACA